GAUGAACGCUGGCGGCGUGCCUAAUACAUGCAAGUCGAACGAAGAUCUAGCUUGCUAGAUCUUAGUGGCGAACGGGUGAGUAAUACAUAAAUAAUCUGCCCAUAUGAUUGGGAUAACUAUUGGAAACGAUAGCUAAUACCGGAUAGGUUGAUUGGAGGCAUCUCUGAUUAAUUAAAGUAGGAUUUCUACACAAAUGGAUGAGUUUAUGGCGCAUUAGUUAGUUGGUGGGGUAACGGCCUACCAAGACGAUGAUGCGUAGCCGACCUGGGAGGGUGACCGGCCACACUGGGACUGAGACACGGCCCAGACUCCUACGGGAGGCAGCAGUAGGGAAUUUUGGGCAAUGGGCGCAAGCCUGACCGAGCAACGCCGCGUGAGUGAUUAAGGCCGUCGGGUUGUAAAGCUCUGUUGUAAGGGAAGAACAUUCAGGAUAGGAAAUGAUCUUGAACUGACGGUACCUUACCAGAAAGCCACGGCUAACUACGUGCCAGCCGCCGCAGUAAAAC
rnacentral:rRNA from 1 species